rnacentral:rRNA from 1 species
GAUGAACGCUGGCGGCGUGCCUAAUACAUGCAAGUCGAGCGAACGGACGAGAAGCUUGCUUCUCUGAUGUUAGCGGCGGACGGGUGAGUAACACGUGGAUAACCUACCUAUAAGACUGGGAUCACUUCGGGAAACCGGAGCUAAUACCGGAUGAUAUUUUGAACCGCAUGGUUCAAAAGUGAAAGACGGUCUUGCUGUCACUUAUAGAUGGAUCCGCGCUGCAUUAGCUAGUUGGUAAGGUAACGGCUUACCAAGGCAACGAUGCGUAGCCGACCUGAGAGGGUGAUCGGCCACACUGGAACUGAGACACGGUCCAGACUCCUACGGGAGGCAGCAGUAGGGAAUCUUCCGCAAUGGGCGAAAGCCUGACGGAGCAACGCCGCGUGAGUGAUGAAGGUCUUCGGAUCGUAAAACUCUGUUAUUAGGGAAGAACAUAUGUGUAAGUAACUGUGCACAUCUUGACGGUACCUAAUCAGAAAGCCACGGCUAACUACGUG